AUUGAACGCUGGCGGCAUGCCUUACACAUGCAAGUCGAACGGCAGCAUGAUCUAGCUUGCUCGAUUGAUGGCGAGUGGCGAACGGGUGAGUAAUACAUCGGAACGUGCCCUGUAGUGGGGGAUAACUAGUCGAAAGAUUAGCUAAUACCGCAUACGACCUGAGGGUGAAAGUGGGGGACCGCAAGGCCUCAUGCUAUAGGAGCGGCCGAUGUCUGAUUAGCUAGUUGGUGGGGUAAAGGCCCACCAAGGCGACGAUCAGUAGCUGGCCUGAGAGGACGAUCAGCCACACUGGGACUGAGACACGGCCCAGACUCCUACGGGAGGCAGCAGUGGGGAAUUUUGGACAAUGGGGGCAACCCUGAUCCAGCAAUGCCGCGUGUGUGAAGAAGGCCUUCGGGUUGUAAAGCACUUUUGUCCGGAAAGAAAUCGCACUUACUAAUAUUAGGUGUGGAUGACGGUACCGGAAGAAUAAGGACCGGCUAACUACGUG
rnacentral:rRNA from 1 species